UUCGGCGCUUUCACCGCUGCGGCCCGGGUUCGAUUCCCGGCCAGGGAAGCCUCUGCAAAAAUGUUUUUCUUUUUUUUCCCCUUCAGCGUCUCCACUGGCAGGCGUCUUCCUCUUCCUGCCCCGACCAGAGCUGUGUUUUGCUUCAAGGUUCAGAUGCAGACGAGCUUCUGCACUGAGUCCCCAAAUGCCGGCGAGUCCCGGCCUCAGGGUCCUUGACAUCGCGCAGGCUGGAGGACGUGAGAUGUAAUGAACAGCCUGGGCUGGCCGGCUCUCGCCUCGGCUCUUUUCCCCCUGCAUGUUACAAACCCGAAGUCUUAUUUACCGCGUUUUCAUCCCAAGAGAAUCGGAGACUCGAGUUCCAAACAUUCAUUAAGAACCACAACCAAAGCCCUUGGAAACAUACAAGAAAGUUGCAAGAGGAAUAACAUCGUAUAUUCUACCUAGUCAACAGGGUCCAGAGAAGACUGCCCAGAGUGACGUCUUUGACAACGUCCUGCCAAGCAACUUAUCCAAAGAGAAGAAUCUCGCUCAUCCCAGAGGUUUGAAAACGAAUAAAGGGAAACGUCACUCAGAUGAAGUCGGGAUACCAGAAGUGGGAGCUCUCAUGGGGUACCAC